rnacentral:rRNA from 1 species
CCUACGGGAGGCAGCAGUGAGGAAUAUUGGUCAAUGGACGGAAGUCUGACCAGCCAUACCGCGUGCAGGAAGACGGCUCUAUGAGUUGUAAACUGCUUUUGUACAAGGGUAAACCUGAAUACGGGUAUUCCACUGAAAGUACUGUACGAAUAAGGAUCGGCUAACUCCGUGCCAGCAGCCGCGGUAAUACGGGGGAUCCAAGCGUUAUCCGGAUUUAUUGGGUUUAAAGGGUGCGUAGGCGGAUUGAUAAGUUAGAGGUGAAAUGUCCGAGCUUAACUCGGGAACUGCCUCUAAUACUGUUGAUCUAGAGAGUAGAUGCGGUAGGCGGAAUGUAUGGUGUAGCGGUGAAAUGCUUAGAGAUCAUACAGAACACCGAUUGCGAAGGCAGCUUACCAAUCUAUAUCUGACGUUGAGGCACGAAAGCGUGGGGAGCAAACAGGAUUAGAUACCCGAGUAGUC